rnacentral:lncRNA from 1 species
CAAGAUUAAAGUUCUUAAGCUCCAGAAAAGGCCAAGAUUUUUUUUUUACAGCAGCAAGAGAGAAAUAAAAGAACAAUAGAUCUACAAAACAAUCAGAAAAUAACUAACAAAUUGGCAAUAAAGCAAGAGAGAAAUAAAAGAAUAAUAGAUCUACAAAACAAAGAAAAGACUCACAUAAAUAAAGAAGACAUUGCAACUGAUACCACAGAAGGAAUCAUGAACCUAUUAGGAACAAUUACAUGCCAACAAAUUAGAUAACCUAGAAAAAAUGGAUAAAUUUCUAGACAAAUUCAAUUGACCAAGACUAAACUAUGAAGAAGUAGAAAAUCUGCACAGACUAAUAAUGAGUAAGAAUAUUGAAUAAAUGAUAUAAUGUCUCCCAUUAAAGAAAAGCCCAGAAAAUGAUGGCUUCCCUGUUAAAUUCUACCAAAUAUUUAAAGAAUUAGCACCAAAUAUUCUCAUUUUUUCCCAAAAAUUGAAGAGGAGAGAAUACUUUCAAAUUUAUUUUUCGCAGCCAAUAUUACCCUAUUAUCAAAGCCAGACAAGAACACCACAGGAAAAGAAAGUGCAGGCAAUAUCCUUGAGGAACAUAGAUGCAAAAAUUCUCAAUAAAAUACUAGUAAACAAAAUUCAAGAGCACAUUAAAAAGACAAUUCAUGAUAAUCAAGUGGGACUUAUCCCUGGGAUGCAAGGAUUGUUUGGCUUAUGCAAAGCUAUAAAUGUGAUACCACAUUAACAAAUAAAGGGCAAAAAAAAAUCAUCUCAAUAAAUGCAGAAAAAAAAGCACAAUUCAACAUCCUUUUAUGCUUAAAAGCUCUCAACAAAUUAGCUAUAGAAGAAAUGUACUUCAAUGCAAUAAAAGCCAUAUAUGAAAAGCCCACAGCUAACAUGAUACUCAAUGGUGAAAAGUUGAAAACGUUUCUUCCAAGAUCAGGAACAAGACAAGGAUGCCCACUCUUGCCAUUUCUAUUCAACAUAGUACUGGGAGUGGUAGCCAGAGCAAUUAGACAAGAGAAAUAAAUGAAACAUAUCCAAAUUAGAAAGGAGGAAGUUAAAUUGUCCCUGUUUGCAAGUGAAAUAACCUGAUAUAUGGAAAAUCCUAAAGACUCCACCAAAAAGCUGUUCAAACUAAUAAAAGAAUUCAGUAAAGUGGCAGGAUGCAAAAUUAACAUGAAAAAUCUGUAGCACUUCUAUACACUAGCAAUAAACUAUCUAAAAAGUAAAAUCAUGAAAACAAUCCCAUUUAUAGUAGCUACACAUGCAUGCACAUGAAAGCACACACACACACAAACAAGGAACAAGACAAGGGUGCCCAUUCUUGCCAUUUCUAUUCAACAUAGUACUGGAAAUAGUAGCCAGAGCAAUUAGACAAGAGAAAUGAAUGAAACGUAUCCAAAUUAGAAAGGAAAAAGUUAAAUUGUCCCUGUUUGCAGGUGAAAUAACCUGAAAUAUAGAAAAUCCUAAAGACUCCACCAAAAAGCUGUUUGAACUAAUAAUAGAAUUCAGUAAAGUGGCAGGAUGCAAAAUUAACAUGAAAAAUCAGUAGCACUUCUAUACACUAGCAAUAAACUAUCUAAAAAGUAAAUCAUGAAAACAAUCCCAUUUAUAGUAGCUACACAUGCAUGCACAUGCAAGCGCACACACACACAAACACCUGGGUACAAAUUUAGCCAAAGAGGUGAAAAACAUAUAAACUGAAAACUAUAAGACAUUGAAAGAAAUUGAAGAAGAUAAAUAAAUGCAAAGAUAUACCAUGUUCAUGGAUUAGAAAAAUUAUUAUUGUUAAAAUGUGUAUACUACUGAAAGCAAUCUACAGAAUCAAUGCAAUCUCUAUCAAAAUUACAAUGACAUUUUUCACAUAAAUAGAAAAAACAAUUAUAAAAUUUUUAUGGAACCACAAAAGGCCUUGAACAAUAAAAAAAUCUUGAGCAAAAAGAAUAAAGAUUGAGGCAUCACACUAUCUCACUUCAAAAUAUCCUACAAAGCUGUAGUAAUCAAAAGAUCAUAGUAUUAGCAUUAAAAACAGACACAUAGACCAGUGCAACAGAAUAGAGAGCCCAGAAGCAAACCCACGCAUUUACAGUCAAUUGACUUUUCAACAAAGGAGCCAAGAACAUACAAUAGGGAAAGGACAAUCUCUUCAAUAAAUGAUGUUGAGACAAUUGGAUAUCCACAUGCAGAAGAAUGAAAUUAGACCAUCACCUCACACCAUAUACAAAAAUCAUGUAAAAAUGGUUUAAAGACUUAAAGACCUGAAACUGUACAACUACUAGCUAAAAGCAUAUGGACAAAACUCUACAACAUUGGUGUGAGCAAUAAUUUUUUGGAUAUGACCUCAAAACUGUAGGCAAAAAUAGACAAAUGGGAUUACAGGAAGUUAAAAAGUUUCUGCAUGGCAAAGGCAACAGGCAACAGAGAAAAAGAUAACCUAUGAAAUGGAAGAAAAUAUAUGCAAACCGUACAUCUGAUAAGGAGUUAAUAUCCAAAAUAUAUAAAAAACUGAAAUAAUAUAAGGAAGACAAAUGGCCUCAUUUAAGAAUAGGCAAAGGACCUGAAGACAUUUUUCAAAAGAGGACAUACAAAUGGCUAACAUGAAUAUGAAUAAAUGCUCAACAUCACUAAUCAUCAAGAAAAUGCAAACUAAAACUACAAUGAGAUAUCACCUCUCACUUGUUAGAAUGGCUAUUAUCAAAUAGACAAAAUAUAACUAGUACUGUUGAGAAUGUGGAGAAUAGGUGACUCUCUCACAGUGUUGGUGAGACUAUGUACACCAGACCAUGUAACUGAAAUUACUUCAGCCACAAUGGAAAGCAAUAUGAAGGUUCCUUUAAAAAUUAAAAUUAGAAUAACCAUAUGAUCCAGCAAUCCCUCCACUGGGUAUGUAUGAAAUUAAAUCACGAAUCAAAAAGGAAACUAAAUCGGUGUGUAUAGCUACACUGUCAUGUUCUUUGCAGCAUUAUUCACAAUAGCCAAGGUAAAGAAUCAAACUAAAAAUGUCCAUCAAGAGAUGAAUGAAUAAAGAAAAUAUAGUAUAUAUACAGAAUAAAAUACUGUUCAACCUUAAAAAUCAAGGAAAUCCUGUUUUGACAAGAUGUAUGAAUCUAGAAGACAUUAUGUUAAGUGAAAUAAGCCAGAUACAGAAGGACAAAUACCACAUGAUCUCAUUUACAGGUGGAAUCUUAAAAAGUUAAACUCAUAGAAGCAGAAAGUAGAAUGGUGGUUACCAGGGACUGAGUUUUGGGGUGGUUGGAAAGAUGCUGGUCAAAGAAUAUAAAAUUUCAGAUAGACGGGAGGAAUAAGUUCAAGAGCUCUUUUAUGCAACAUGGUGACUAUAGUUAAUAACAAUGUACUGUAUUCUUGGAAAAUUAGUAAAAGAACAGAUUUUAAGUGUUCUUACCAUAAAAAAUGAUAUAUAAGUUAAUGUUUAGGUUGCUCUGUCUAUGGAGUAGCCAUUCUUUUGUUUCUUCACUUCUCUAAUAAACUUGCUUUCACUUAAAAAAAAAGUUAAUGCUUACGUUAAUUAGAUCAAAGUAACCAUUCUGCAAUGUAUGCAUAUUUCAAAGCAUCAUGUUGUAAAUGACAAAUAUAUAUACUUUGUAUUUGUCAAUUUAAAAAAAUAAUUAAUUAAUUUUAAAAAAGAGAAACUGGCAGGACAUCCAGAAUCCUUCCUUUGUUUGUGUACUAGACCAAAUUCCCAGAAGAACUGUAGAGAUUUAAUAAAGGAUAUCUGAAUAAAGUUGGAGAUGGAACUACUGUACUAAACAUAGGGAUGUUAAGAAAACUAGAAGUAUUUGGGAGUACUGAGGAUAAUUGGGAUUUUUGUACUCUUAACUAACCUCACUGUUGCUUUCUCUCAUCUGUGCCAAAGCAUUAGCCAGCCUUUACAUCAUUUUUAUGUGUAAAAAUUAUGUACUGCUGAAAUAAUAGUGCAUAUUUAUUAAGUUUUUAUUAUUACAUGACUUUUUAUAUUAAAGGUGAUAACUACUUCAUUAUUUUAAAAUCUGCUUACCUAUUUAUCACUGAUUCUUUUUUGAAAAUGUUCUCACAGAUAUGUCAAACAUUAGGCAACACUAUUCCAAAGGCUCAAUUACUUCAAAUCAUCUAUCAAUCCCCUGGUGUUCCAUUUUUGUUUUGUUUGCUUGUUCUAAUUGAAGAUCUGACUCUGACAGAUCUUUAUUUCUUGCUUCAAUCUAGACUAUUAGGUUUUUAGGGUUAAGUCACAGUAGUCAUGCUGGAAUGUCCCUUUUUUCCUCUCUUGUAUAGAAGACAAAGUUUCUCAAAUCCCCUGUCUCCCUUGUUCCUGAUUUACUACUUCAUUUUUCAUGAAUUAUAUAUCGUGGUAGCUUCCAAGGAAAGAGUAAUAGGAAGCAUGUUUUUGUGAAUUAUUGCAGAUCUGAAAAUGUCUUUAUUCAAUCCUCACAUUUCAGUGAUACUAUACCUUGCUUGGGUAUAAAAUUAUAGGCUGAAAAUAAUUUUCAAUCAGAAUUUUUAAUACUAUUGUUAUAUAUCUUUCGGUUUUUCGUGUUACUAGUCUAAUAUUUAUGUUGUGAGUUUUAAAAAAUCUGCCCUUUAAACCCCGGUCUCCUGAAACUUCAUGAUAAUAUGCCUUUGAAUAUUAUAUUAUUUCAUUAAUUUUUUCUGGGAAUUCAAUGGGAUCUUUUAAGUUAAAGACAUAAGCCCUUACACUUUGGAGAUAUUUUUGAUCAUAUCUUGAUCAUUUUCUUUCCUCUUUUUAUACUCUCUUUCUCUCUCUAAAAUUUGUACUUGUUGGAUGUCGAACCACCUACAUUAAUCUAUAUUUAUAAUUUCUUUGUUCUUAUUUUCCACAUAGUUUAUAGAUUUUCCUGACUUCUAAUGAUUUAUUUUUUACUGUAAUUUACUCUAUUUUGCAGUGCCCUUUUUUCUCUGAUUGCUUUUUAAAAAUAGUUCCCUCUUCUUGUUUUAUAUAUGUAUUAUUUGACCUGUUCAUAUGUUUUAAUUGGGUCCCAUUUUCAUAAAUAUUUUAGUCACUCUUUGUCAUGAGAAAGAAUUUUGUAUCACAUACAUUACCUCUUCAGGAAACAUCUGUAUAUACUAUCAAAUUACAAAACACUUACUAGAAGCUCUGGGUGGUGGGGGAGAUGCUUGAGGUGUAGGACAAGGUCCAACUAGUUGACUUUACUUAGAGUGAACUCCUAUACAUCUCAAGCAACUCCUAAAUCUCUAGAGGUCUAUAUCUGGGGCCUUUCAAAAACAAUUUUUACACAGAUUAUCCUCCAAUUUUCUUCAGGAAAAAUUAAACAUGGCAAUAAGUAUUCUCAAAACAGAGCAGAGGAAAGGGCUGUGGGUAGUAUAGGGGAUGUGUGUAGAACAAUUUAAUCACCUUGUUCUACCCUAAACCAAUUUCUUGGUGUUCACUGCUUCCUGAAUCAACUUCUCCAGAGACUAGACUUCUCUUUUCUCUUAGUGUGUAUUUGUGGAGGGGUAAAGAGAUUCUCAAACAGUCUCUGAGUGUUCAGUCUUAAACUGACUUCUGCUUUCCAGGUAACCUGUUUCCCCACAAUCAGAGACUCUCAGGGGAUUUGUGAGGUAAGAAAGCCCACUUGCCAUUAGAAGCCCCUCUGUGUGAUGAAUUAGUUUUUGUCAUUUUCUGCUUUGCUAUGUCUGUUACCUCUCCUCCAUCUUAUUCCACUUUCUAAUAUAUUGCUGUAAGGAUUUUUCUGAUGUUAUAUUUUCUGUUUUUCUCUUUGUUCUCAUUAAUUAACAAAAUUUCUAUUUUUAAUUAAUUUUUGUGGUGUUUGGGAGGGAAAGGAUGUGAUUACCUAUGAUCAGACCAUUACAUUUAACCGAGUCAGCAAAUACAUUUUUAAAUAUUUCUAGAUAUGUGUUAAUUUCUUAUCAUUCUGUUUUCUCACCAUAGAUACUAAAUGAACAUGAUGCAAAAUGAACAACACAUAAGUUUCUGAGAGAAAAGUCCUCAUGCUGAGAAAGUUAAGAAAUCCUUAGUAACACGGGGUUCUGAGUGAAGAAUUACUAAAGGAGAUUCUAGAAAUCCUUGGUAGAAUCUGAACUGUCAAAGGACUAAAUUGAACAAUUACUGCUCUCCCACUAUUGCAAAGCCAUUUCCUAUAGUUGCUGCCACAAGCUAGAACUUCAUCCUGGGCAUGAUUCAACCCCUAAUUUGCAAAUUUAUAACAGCUCUUGGCUACUAAGCAUGGUUUUCUUCUAUAGACCAUACUUCAAUAAAAUACUGUUACAAAUAACAGAUGGACAAUGCAUUCAUUUGUAGAUGGUUCCUUGUAAUAAUAAUUUAUUAACUUUUUUCUUUCUUAGGGCAGAAGUAGCAAACAUUAAACUAAAUUGCCUAUAGCAUAAAUGGAAGGAACUUUUUAAGCAGGUGGGAAUUUAUUUAGACUUCUUCAUUUAAUGUGGC